GACAGAGGCCUCGAGCGUUAGGCGGAAUCACUGGGCUUAAAGCGUGUGUAGGCGGAUCGUUAAGUACCUUGUGAAAUCCCACGGCUCAACCGUGGAACGGCUGGGUAUACUGGCGGUCUUGGGCCAUUCAGGGGCGACUGGAACAAGCGGUGGAGCGGUGAAAUGCGUAGAUAUCUGGAGGAACACCGGUGGCGAAGGCGGCAUCCUGGACCGGUAAUUGACGGCUGGAGGCACGAAAGCCUAGGGGAGCAAACAGG
rnacentral:rRNA from 1 species